GAUGAACGCUGGCGGCGUGCCUAAUACAUGCAAGUCGAGCGAAUGGAUUAAGAGCUUGCUCUUAUGAAGUUAGCGGCGGACGGGUGAGUAACACGUGGGUAACCUGCCCAUAAGACUGGGAUAACUCCGGGAGACCGGGGCUAAUGCCGGAUAACAUUUUGAACCGCAUGGUUCGAAAUUGAAAGGCGGCUUCGGCUGUCACUUAUGGAUGGACCCGCGUCGCAUUAGCUAGUUGGUGAGGUAACGGCUCACCAAGGCAACGAUGCGUAGCCGACCUGAGAGGGUGAUCGGCCACACUGGGACUGAGACACGGCCCAGACUCCUACGGGAGGCAGCAGUAGGGAAUCUUCCGCAAUGGACGAUAGUCUGACGGAGCAACGCCGCGUGAGUGAUGAAGGCUUUCGGGUCGUAAAACUCUGUUGUUAGGGAAGAACAAGUGCUAGUUGAAUAAGCUGGCACCUUGACGGUACCUAACCAGAAAGCCACGGCUAACUACGUGCCAGCCGCCGCUGUAA
rnacentral:rRNA from 1 species